GACAGAGGGUGCAAACGUUGUUCGGAUUUACUGGGCGUAAAGCGCGUGUAGGCGGCUUGGCAAGUCGGAUGUGAAAGCCCACGGCUCAACCGUGGAAGCGCAUCCGAAACGGCCUCGCUCGAGUCUCGGAGAGGAAGGUGGAAUGCUUGGUGUAGAGGUGAAAUUCGUAGAUAUCAAGCAGAACAUCAGUGGCGAAGGCGGCCAUCUGGGACAACACUGACGCUGAAGCACGAAAGCGUGGGGAGCAAACAGG
rnacentral:rRNA from 1 species